UCCUACGGGAGGCAGCAGUGGGGAAUUUUCCGCAAUGGGGGCAACCCUGACGGAGCAACGCCGCGUGGGGGACGACGGCCUUAGGGUUGUAAACCUCUUUUCUCUGGGAAGAAGAACUGACGGUACCAGAGGAAUCAGCCUCGGCUAACUCUGUGCCAGCAGCCGCGGUAAUAAUCUC
rnacentral:rRNA from 1 species